CUUCGGAUAAAUUUUCUUUUAUUUCCAUACUCUUUUGUGACAUGUGUGGCACAAGUAUUCAAUCUCACAGGGAUGUUAAAACCCACACUCGAAGGGUGUCCAGUGUGCUUAGGAAAUGUGGGUUUGCGCAAUCACAGGCCAAGCCUGGGGGUCCUCGGGGAAGCUACUCCUCCAGGUCACCUGCCAGGUGGAUGCACUUCCUUGGGCAAUGGGUGACCCUCCCAGGACAAGGGGAACCAGCAGGGACUCGAUGGCACCACACAGCAGCCACCUGUUCUGACAAUGUGACACAGACCAACUAAUGCCAGAGCCCAGGAGAAGCCACAGCAGAGCUGCCUGGGUUGGUGUCAGAGCAACAGGCAGAAGUGACUGUGCCGCCCGUGGGCUGUCAUCCACCGGUGGCUACUGUGUCAUUCUGGAAAAACUAUGAUGCCAUGAGACUCUGAGAAACCGAAUCACUGCAGAGACAAACUCA
rnacentral:lncRNA from 1 species